rnacentral:rRNA from 1 species
UACGGGGGGAGCAAGCGUUGUUCGGAUUUACUGGGCGUAAAGCGCGUGUAGGCGGCCCGGUAAGUCCGCUGUGAAAGUCGGGGGCUCAACCCUCGAAUGCCGGUGGAUACUGUCGGGCUAGAGUGCGGAAGAGGCGAGUGGAAUUCCUGGUGUAGCGGUGAAAUGCGCAGAUAUCAGGAGGAACACCAAUUGCGAAGGCAGCUCGCUGGGACGUAACUGACGCUGAGACGCGAAAGCGUGGGGAGCAAACAGG